ensembl:lncRNA
GGCCAGGAUAUUUAGAAGGAAAAAAAAUCAUGCAGACCCUGCAAAUUUAGCAGCAGAGACUUGAUCUUUGAUGACGAGCUUGUAGAUGCUUUUGACAACAAUGUGUUCUCCAAAGCAUACUCCUGUCAUGAAAUACAGUGUCUUCACCAGUUUCAAGAAGAUAGGAACCAAAAAUAGUCCGUAUUGGAGUGGAUGACCUCCAAGUACCGCUGGAUUUGUGAGACAGAAAGUAGAUGGCAUUACUGCUGAUGCGAAAGAGAAGUCUAAUUUGUAGCCCAGCAGGAUCCCAAAAUAUGUUCAAAAUAUUAUUUAUGACUGAAAAUUAAAAAUUAAGAGUAAAGGCAGAUUUUACUGUUUACUUAGCCAAGUCAUAAAAUAUACAAGCAAAGCAAAUAUAAACAACAGCAAAACAAACUGAGCUAAGGCAUGCUUACAGCUAGCCUAAUCAUCUUAAAACUCCAAAUAUUAUCUCAUGACAGAUGGCUGCUGGAGUCUACAAAGGGCUACUCCAAAUUCUCUUCCCCAUUCCAUAAAGACCACCCCUAUUGAGGACAUUUCCAUCCAAAUGCAUUAUUAUAUAUCCUGUCUUGAAACAGAAGAUUUCAUUUCCUUGCCGCUAUUUGGUGAGUCUUGUGCUGGAAAAGGGCCUAUCACCUACCUUCCUCUGGACCAGCUUUUGCAGAUGAAUUACUCUCUACCAUGGUCUUAGAAGGAGCAGUCAAGAAUGCCUCCCUUCCUUACCAUGCUGGCCUGGACUUUCAUCUAUCACCAAUAAUGAGAGUGGAAUGGAUAACAAAACAGAACAUAAAGAUGUCAGAGAUGUGUCCACCACAUGAAAGUGAUAUCAUUCUUUUCAUAUUAACAUGGCCUUUACUAACAGGACUUCCAGAUGUGCUUAAACUGUAGGAAGAGUGGCUGAUACCCAGAGUGCUGUGCAGCCAUUCAGAAGGAUCUUGACAGAGAGGAGGGCGGAGAAAAACACCGUGAAAUUCAACAAAGGCUUGAAAUGACUUUCUUGCUCCUGGCAAAGCCUGCAAACACAGGUUACUUCAAUACUGGCUGCAUCACUACAGUAUUACUAUGUCAAGACAUGCUCAGUCAUGGUUCCUUGUAGCACAAGAAAGAGUGAGUCUCUACUCAGCGUACUCAGGCGCUUCCUCAAGACUACAGUAUUCAAGAGGCC